GGAAUUUUCCACAAUGGGCGAAAGCCUGAUGGAGCAACGCCGCGUGCAGGAUGACGGCCUUCGGGUUGUAAACUGCUUUUAUGAGUGAAGAAUUUGACGGUAACUCAAGAAUAAGGGUCGGCUAACUACGUGCCAGCAGCCGCGGUCAUACGUAGGACCCAAGCGUUAUCCGGAAUUACUGGGCGUAAAGAGUUGCGUAGGUGGUCUUCUAAGCAGAACGUGAAAGCGUACGGCUCAACCGUAUACACAU
rnacentral:rRNA from 1 species